rnacentral:rRNA from 1 species
GAUGAACGCUAGCGGCAGGCUUAAUACAUGCAAGUCGAGGGGCAGCACAGAUAGCAAUAUUGGGUGGCGACCGGCAAACGGGUGCGGAACACGUACACAACCUUCCUUUUGGUGGGGGAUAGCCUUUGGAAACGGAGAUUAAUACCCCAUAAGAUAUUGGGACAGCAUGGUUUUGAUAUUAAAGAUUUAUUGCCAGAAGAUGGGUGUGCGUAGGAUUAGGUAGUUGGUGAGGUAAAGGCUCACCAAGCCGACGAUCAUUAACUGGUGUGAGCGCACGACCAGUCACACGGGCACUGAGACACGGGCCCGACUCCUACGGGAGGCAGCAGUAAGGAAUAUUGUUCAAUGGACGGAAGUCUGAACCAGUCAUGCCGCGUGGAGGAUGAAGGUCCUCUGGAUUGUAAACUUCUUUUAUAUGGGGCGAAAAAGGGCCAUUCUUUGUCAACUGACGGUACCAUAUGAAUAAGCACCGGCUAACUCCGUGCCAGCAGCCGCAGUAAUAC